GCAUCGGUGGUGUACGGACACACACGUCAAUGUCUUGCGUAAAACUUGAGAUGUCGCACUAUUGACGAGCCCGGGGUUCGACUCCCCGUCGAUGCA